UACAGAGGUCUCAAGCGUUGUUCGGAUUCAUUGGGCGUAAAGGGUGCGUAGGCGGCGCGGUAAGUCGGGUAUGAAAUCUCGGGGCUUAACUCCGAAACUGCAUUCGAUACUGCCGUGCUUGAGGACUGGAGAGGAGACUGGAAUUUACGGUGUAGCGGUGAAAUGCGUAGAUAUCGUAAGGAAGACCAGUGGCGAAGGCGGGUCUCUGGACAGUUCCUGACGCUGAGGCACGAAGGCCAGGGGAGCAAACGGG
rnacentral:rRNA from 1 species